rnacentral:tRNA from 1 species
GCCCCGGUAGCUCAGCAGGAUAGAGCAGCCGCCUCCUAAGCGGCAGGUCAGAGGUUCGAAUCCUCUUCGGGGCG